GAUGAACGCUGGCGGCGUGCCUAAUACAUGCAAGUCGAGCGAACAGACGCGGAGCUUGCUCCUCUGACGUUAGCGGCGGACGUGUGAGUAACGCGUGGAUAACCUACCUAUCAGACUGGGAUAACUUCGGGACACCGGAGCUAAUACCGGAUAAUAUAUUUAACCGUAUGGUUCAUUAGUGAAAGUCGGUUUUUCUGUCUCUUAUAGAUGGCUCCGCGCCGCAUUAGGUAGUUGGUAAGGUCACGGCUUACCAAGGCAACCAUGCGUAGCAGACCGGAGAGGGGGAUAGCCCACCCGGGAACGCGACCACGGUCCAUGCGCCUACGGGAGGCAGCAGUAUGGUACCGUCGGCAAUGGUGGAGAACUUGACGGAGUGACCGCACGUGAGUUGUAAAGGUGCUCGGAGCGGAAAGCUCGCUUAUGAGUUAAAAACAAAUUUCAAAGGAAAAAAACACAUCUUGACGGUACCUAAACAGAAAGCCACGGCUAACUACGUG
rnacentral:rRNA from 1 species